CUGUAUUAUCGAUGUAUCGUUCUAUAUUAUCGAAGUAUCGUUCUGUUUUAUCGACAUAAGAUGAUUGGGCGGUAGUAGGUAUUUAAGGUUAUGGCGGUGCAGUGAUAUCAAAUAAUACAUUAUUAUUUUGUUGCAAUGGUUAUCAUCGUUGAAUUUGACAACAUACCAUUAUAAAUGCUAUUCUAAAAGGGAUACACACAAUGCUGUAUUAUUUUAUUGCAAUGGUGAUCAUUGGUUGAACUUGACAGCAUACUUUUGAGAUUUUCUUCUAUUUGAAAGCUCUCUACAAAUUUACAUAUAUCACCACCAUAUAUAUCUCACAGAAGGGAAUGGGCACAAGCAAAGGAUAAUUCCAUCGAUGGUAUUCGCAAGCACGUAGAAGUAGAUAAGUACUAUUAUAAUGAAAAUGGAUGAAGUUGGACGUAAGUUACACUGAGCUUAAAGCUCAGAAAGAGAAAGAGAGAGUAAGAAGCUUACGUUUUCUUCAAUUAUUAACUCUAGAAAAGACCAAACCAGAUUCCAUUUUUUUUUAAUACUUUUUUUUUCUUUUUUUUUUUACUUUCAACACCACUUUCCAUCUUAUCCUACCUCUCAUUCUGUCUGUCAAUGUUCAAUAUAUCGUAGAAAAACCUGAAAUAUAUCGGUGUCGAAUUAUCAACGCCGUUGUUUAAAGCGGUUAAAGCGUCAACCAUCCCCACCUUUUCCACCCCCAAACGUCAGAGGUAAUUAAUUUAGCAACAGGACGUGAUCGAAUCAAUGAUAAAAUGGAGAUAGAAAGAGAUAUUAUUAUUGAUCCAUCGGAUGUUGUUAUCAACAACGAAUUUUCCUUGAUUUUCACUGUGACGCAAAUGUCUACAUAUGUCUAUACACAUGUUUUGUAUAUAUAUAUAAAUGUAGAUUUCGUUUGUUCCUAAUCCCUAACCUCCAAAAAUACUUAUACCGAUUGUCUUAAAAUUUUGACACAACGUUGCAUUCACAUACAGUUAGGUUUUUAUUACAUUAAUUUAUUUAUAAAAUGAUGAAUUAAUUUAAAAAAGAUACAAGUAAGUUCAGCACCAUCUGUUGGCUAUAGAUUUCAGUGAGUGAGUGAAACAUUUGAAUAUAACCUAACCUUUAUCUAUAUAUAAUUGGUAAUCUCACAAAAGUAUUUGUACCGAUUGUCUUGAAAUUUUGACACAACGUUGCAUUUUCAUACAACUAGGUUUUUAUUACAUUAAUUUAUUUAUAAAAUAAUUAAUUAAUUAAA